AGGUAUGUGCUUUUUGCGCUCUGCUCUGCAAAAGCGGAGGUUAGUAAUUUGAUUUUACUCGUGCCUU
rnacentral:tRNA from 1 species